GUAUAUAUUAUAUAGGCACAACAUUCUAUUAACAUACAUUGGGGUAAAUGAAGCAACAUAGACCUUUUCAGGUCUACAAAAGGUGCACAGGUGGAGAUAUAAAGAUGACAAGGUGUGCACAUGCUCCCUAGAGAACCAGCAACAACCCGUCAGGUUUAUUUCAAUAAUGAUCCUUCCGCAGGUUCACCUACGGAAA
rnacentral:misc_RNA from 1 species